AUGGAGACUGACAGUCAAGAUGUGGUCGAUCUCUGAAACUCGCGCCGUUCUUCGCGCUCUUUGAUAGCGCCAGGUCUUCUAGAUAUUGAAGGGUUAGCAGAUAGUUUUUCCUCUUUUAGUAUUCAUCAUGUAAAGAGGCAUUCUAAUGUAUCUGCCCACUUGUGUGCGAAAAAUGCUUGCACACUAGAGGUGACAGAUUGUUGGAUGUACUCUCCCCCUGGGUUUCUGGUGACUAGCCUGAUGGCGGACACUGCUGGAGCUCUUUUGAUUGAAUAA
rnacentral:rRNA from 1 species